GCAUUUACAUUUUCUUUCACACAUCCGAUAAAAUUGGAACAGAAAAGAUUAGCAUAGCCUCUCCACAAGGAUGAUACGCACAAAUCGAGAAAUGACCCAUUAGAUG
rfam:Brassica rapa chromosome A5, whole genome shotgun sequence.